rnacentral:rRNA from 1 species
UCAAGUGAAGAAGCGCAUACGGUGGAUGCCUUGGCAGUCAGAGGCGAUGAAAGACGUGGUAGCCUGCGAUAAGCUUUGGGGAGUCGGCAAACAGACUGUGAUCCAGAGAUCUCUGAAUGGGGGAACCACUCAGCAUAAGCUGAGUAUCCUGCACUGAAUACAUAGGUGCAUGAGGCGAACCAGGGAACUGAAACAUCUAAGUACCCUGAGGAAUAGAAAUCAACCGAGAUUCCCUUAGUAGUGGCGAGCGAACGGGGACCAGCCCUUAAGUUGGUUGAAGAUUAGUGGAACGCUCUGGAAAGUGCGGCCAUAGUGGGUGAUAGCCCCGUACACGAAAAUCUUCUUUCAAUGAAAUCGAGUAGGACGGAGCACGAGAAACUUUGUCUGAAUAUGGGGGGACCAUCCUCCAAGGCUAAAUACUACUGACUGACCGAUAGUGAACCAGUACGUGAGGGAAAGGCGAAAAGAACCCCGGAGAGGGGAGUGAAAUAGAACCUGAAACCGUAUGCGUACAAGCAGUGGGAGCCUACUUGUUAGGUGACUGCGUACCUUUUGUAUAAUGGGUCAGCGACUUAUAUUCAGUGGCGAGCUUAACCGAAUAGGGGAGGCGUAGCGAAAGCGAGUCUUAAUAGGGCGAACAGUCGCUGGGUAUAGACCCGAAACCGGGCGAUCUAUCCAUGGGCAGGUUGAAGGUUAGGUAACACUGACUGGAGGACCGAACCGACUACCGUUGAAAAGUUAGCGGAUGACCUGUGGAUCGGAGUGAAAGGCUAAUCAAGCUCGGAGAUAGCUGGUUCUCCUCGAAAGCUAUUUAGGUAGCGCCUCAUGUAUCACUGCUGGGGGUAGAGCACUGUUUCGGCUAGGGGGUCAUCCCGACUUACCAAACCGAUGCAAACUCCGAAUACCAGCAAGUGCCGAGCAUGGGAGACACACGGCGGGUGCUAACGUCCGUCGUGAAAAGGGAAACAACCCAGACCGUCAGCUAAGGUCCCAAAGUCAUGGUUAAGUGGGAAACGAUGUGGGAAGGCUUAGACAGCUAGGAGGUUGGCUUAGAAGCAGCCACCCUUUAAAGAAAGCGUAAUAGCUCACUAGUCGAGUCGGCCUGCGCGGAAGAUGUAACGGGGCUCAAACCAUGCACCGAAGCUACGGGUAUCACCACUAGGUGAUGCGGUAGAGGAGCGUUCUGUAAGCCUGUGAAGGUCAGUUGAGAAGCUGGCUGGAGGUAUCAGAAGUGCGAAUGCUGACAUGAGUAACGACAAUGGGAGUGAAAAACUCCCACGCCGAAAGACCAAGGUUUCCUGCGCAACGUUAAUCGACGCAGGGUUAGUCGGUCCCUAAGGCGAGGCUGAAAAGCGUAGUCGAUGGAAAACAGGUUAAUAUUCCUGUAUUCCGGUUAUUGCGAUGGAGGGACGGAGAAGGCUAGGCCAGCUUGGCGUUGGUUGUCCAAGUUUAAGGUGGUAGGCUGAGAUCUUAGGCAAAUCCGGGAUCUCAAGGCCGAGAGCUGAUGACGAGUUGCCUUUAGGCGACGAAGUGGUUGAUGCCAUGCUUCCAAGAAAAGCUCCUAAGCUUCAGAUAAUCGGGAACCGUACCCCAAACCGACACAGGUGGUUAGGUAGAGAAUACCAAGGCGCUUGAGAGAACUCGGGUGAAGGAACUAGGCAAAAUGGCACCGUAACUUCGGGAGAAGGUGCCCGCGAGGUUAAGGACUUGCCUCCGUAAGCCCAUGCCGGUCGAAGAUACCAGGCCGCUGCGACUGUUUAUUAAAACACAGCACUCUGCAAACACGAAAGUGGACGUAUAGGUGUGACGCUGCCGGUGCCGGAAGGUUAAUUGAUGGGGUUAGCGGCAAGCGAAGCUCUUGAUCGAAGCCCCGGUAAACGGCGGCCGUAACUAUAACGGUCCUAAGGUAGCGAAAUUCCUUGUCGGGUAAGUUCCGACCUGCACGAAUGGCGUAACGAUGGCGGCGCUGUCUCCACCCGAGACUCAGUGAAAUUGAAAUCGCUGUGAAGAUGCAGUGUAUCCGCGGCUAGACGGAAAGACCCGUGAACCUUUACUAUAGCUUUGCACUGGACUUUGAAUUUGCUUGUGUAGGAUAGGUGGGAGGCUUUGAAGCGUGGACGCCAGUCUGCGUGGAGCCAUCCUUGAAAUACCACCCUGGCAACUUUGAGGUUCUAACUCAGGUCGUGCGUCCCCCGUGCCUGGACAGGUCCGGGCACGGGCGGCGCGACGGGCGCAGCGUUCGCCAGGGCUCACUCCACGGCCUUGACCAUGUCCUCCAGGACCUUCUUGGCGUCGCCGAACACCAUCAUGGUCUUGUCCAGGUAGAACAGCUCGUUGUCCAGGCCGGCAUAGCCGCUGGCCAUCGAGCGCUUGUUGACGAUGAUGGUCUUGGCCUUGAACGCUUCCAGGAUCGGCAUGCCGGCGAUCGGCGACUUGGAUCGUUCUUCGCCGCCGGGUUGACCACGUCGUUCGCACCCAGCACCAGGACCACGUCGGCCUGGCCAAACUCGGCGUUGAUGUCUUCCAUCUCGAACACCUGGUCGUAAGGCACCUCGGCCUCGGCCAGCAGGACGUUCAUGUGCCCAGGCAUGCGACCGGCCACCGGGUGGAU